AUUGAACGCUGGCGGCAUGCCUUACACAUGCAAGUCGAACGGCAGCACGGGUGCUGGCGCCUGGUGGCGAGGGGCGAACGGGUGAGUAAUACAUGGGAACAGGUCCUGUAGUGGGGGAAAGCGCUGCGAAAGCCGGAUUAAUACCGCAUACGAUCCACGGAGGAAAGCGGGGGACCUGCAAGCCUCGCGCUAUAGGGUUGGCCGAUGGCUGAUUAGCUAGUUGGUGGGGUAAAGGCCUACCAAGGCGACGAUCAGUAGCUGGUCUGAGAGGCCGACCAGCCACACUGGGACUGAGACACGGCCCAGACUACUACGGGAGGCAGCAGUGGGGAAUUUUGGACAAUGGGCGAAAGCCUUAUCCAGCAAUGCCGCGUGUGUGACGAAGGCCUUCGGGUUGUAACGCACUUUUGCCCGGAAAGAAAUCCUUGACUCUAAUACAGUCGGGGGAUGACGGUACCGGCAGAAUAAGCACCGGCUAACUACGUG
rnacentral:rRNA from 1 species